CCUGGAACUAUAUGUAAGGGCACUCUCAUCCACUGGCUGAAAGGAAACAACUGGAUUGGCUUUUCUAACUCUCUUUAAAAGAGACUGCUUUCAAAUUCACUUGCCCUAGAACCUGCUUUUUAUUGAUAUUGAUCUAGAAUCAGCUAUUCCUAGUUUUUUUUAUUAUUCCUAGCCAGAGAAAUUAAACUAAUCUCGAGAUCCAGAAACCUAUCUAUACGCCUAGCCUUAAGCAAAAGAAAUCUCGUUAGCCCUACCAUAGAAACUAUUACCUCGACUUGGAUUGAAAGGAAGAACUUAGGACUUUGGGACUUACCCUAGGACGUAAACCCCUAGCAUUCCAAUUGAAACUCAAGGAGAUGGAACUAAACAGGCUUAGGCCCUUUUCCUCUUUCAAGGGGACUAGAGGGAAUGCAACUACUGAGACAGCAACUCAAACAAAAUC
rnacentral:lncRNA from 1 species